rnacentral:rRNA from 1 species
AAAUUGAAGAGUUUGAUCAUGGCUCAGAUUGAACGCUGGCGGCAGGCCUAACACAUGCAAGUCGAACGGUAACAGGAAGAAGCUUGCUUCUUUGCUGACGAGUGGCGGACGGGUGAGUAAUGUCUGGGAAACUGCCUGAUGGAGGGGGAUAACUACUGGAAACGGUAGCUAAUACCGCAUAACGUCGCAAGACCAAAGAGGGGGACCUUCGGGCCUCUUGCCAUCGGAUGUGCCCAGAUGGGAUUAGCUAGUAGGUGGGGUAACGGCUCACCUAGGCGACGAUCCCUAGCUGGUCUGAGAGGAUGACCAGCCACACUGGAACUGAGACACGGUCCAGACUCCUACGGGAGGCAGCAG